rnacentral:lncRNA from 10 species
GGGAGACUCCAUCUCAAAAAAAGAAAAAGUCCUCUUUGCAUAGUUUUGUAUUUGUAGGAGUGCUUAUGGGUGCUGAAGGGUCUGUAGGAAAGAUGGACUUUAUCAGAUUAAUGUAAAAUUUACAGGAUAUACACUAGCUAAUAGCAAGGAAAUCCUUUACUCAAUAUACUCACAAAAUGGAUUAGAAAACCAAAAACAAACACUACAAUAAACCACCAAAUCAUGCCUUGCUCCAAUGUCUCUUCCUGUAUCUCUUCCUGUAUUUUUCACUGCUCCUUAUAAGAGGUUCAUGUAAUGCUUUCUUUGUAGAAUUUCAUAGUGGGAAAUUUCAUCUUUCAUGAAGAGCUUGUAGGCUUCCUGCAACAACCAUGGAAAUGUGUCCACUGGAUCUCUCUCCAAGAAGGAACUUGCCAAUCAGCCAUGAGAAGUGCAGUGAGCUGUCAUUCCCCCAGGUGCAACAUUUAGCCGAGGCCAGGCUCUUCCCAGGAAGACCCCAGCCAAGGACAGAACAGGGUAGGGGUCUUAGGGCGUGGUUCCUUCUGUCCAACUUGGGACUCCACUAAGGGCAGUUUUUUGUUGGAGUACUCCCUUGGGCUGGCCAAGGCUUUUGAAUAAAAAUCAUUGAUGUCUUUCCAGAACAUCACCAUGGGCCCCACUCAUGAUAAUAGGGGCUGAUUUUGCACUAGCAAGCAGAAAUGAGUCAAGAGACUGACUUGGUUUUUAUGUCUUCUGUCCCUUUCUAGACUAAAUGAAGAUCAAGUCUGAAAGUCAUUCACUUUGUCAUCUGUUGGCUCUACCUUUGACUCAAGUGCCAGCCUCUUCAUCUCUCUCCUGGAUUCCUAUAAUACCUUCUCAGCUUCGGCUGUCAUUUCCCCUCCACACACAGCCAGCAUGAGUGACUGCAAAAUCAAAGUCCUGAGCUGGUCUCCCCACUCACUCAAAGGCCCUGUAGGACAGUGUCCCUCUGUGAUGGCAUAGCCACGCUGGCCUCUUGGCUGUUCCUCAGAUAUCCCAUGCUGCUGCCACCUUGAGCACUUGCUGGUUUAUCUGCCUGAUUCAAUGCUCUUCUCCCGACAUUUAUCCACAUGGACCCAUCUGCAAAGUUCUCAAGUUUCUGCUCAGAGUCACCUCAUCAGGUUGGUGACAACCUUAUUUAAAAUAGCUCUUCUUCUCCAUA